CUUCACCGAGCCGAGCAGCAACGGGAGUUCACGGUCCUGGCCGUACGUGGCGAGCAGCGCCUGGGCCUC
rfam:Actinobacteria bacterium OK074 ctg123, whole genome shotgun sequence.